rnacentral:tRNA from 1 species
AUUGACAAAAUUUUUACAUUUUUGGAGGCAUUUUUUUUGCCAAAAAGUUACUUUUUAUUUGUUAAU